rnacentral:misc_RNA from 1 species
CAACCCUCAAGCACUGCUUGGUGUUGGGGCACUGCUCCUCUCGCGGGGAGCAGGCCCUGAAAUUCAGUGGCGAGCCCGCCAGGCCCCCGAGCGCAGUAGUUAAACCCUCGCUCCGGAAGGCCCUGGCGGUGCCCUGCCGUUAAACCCCCCAACUCUUGAAA